UACAGAGGUCCCAAGCGUUGUUCGGAUUCAUUGGGCGUAAAGGGUGUGUAGGUGGCGCCGUAAGUCGGGUGUGAAAUCUCGGGGCUUAACUCCGAAACUGCAUUCGAUACUGCGGUGCUUGAGGACUGGAGAGGAGACUGGAAUUCAUGGUGUAGCAGUGAAAUGCGUAGAGAUCAUGAGGAAGACCAGUGGCGAAGGCGGGUCUCUGGGCAGUAACUGACGCUGAGGAGCGAAAGCGUGGGGAGCGAACAGG
rnacentral:rRNA from 1 species